rnacentral:rRNA from 1 species
GAUGAACGCUAGCGGGAGGCUUAACACAUGCAAGUCGAGGGGCAUCACGAGGUAGCAAUACUUUGGUGGCGACCGGCGCACGGGUGAGUAACACGUAUGCAACCUACCCUGUACAGGGGGAUAACCCGGAGAAAUUCGGACUAAUAUUCCAUAAUGAUAUUUUAGGGCAUCCUUUAAUAUUUAAAGCUUUGGCGGUACAGGAUGGGCAUGCGCAACAUUAGCUAGUUGGGAGGGUAACGGCCUACCAAGGCUAUGAUGUUUAGGGGACCUGAGAGGGUGAUCCCCCACACUGGUACUGAGACACGGACCAGACUCCUACGGGAGGCAGCAGUGAGGAAUAUUGGUCAAUGGGCGGAAGCCUGAACCAGCCAUCCCGCGUGCAGGAAGACAGCCCUAUGGGUUGUAAACUGCUUUUCCAGUGGGCGAACCCCUCGUACGUGUACGGGAUUGACGGUACACUGGGAAUAAGCAUCGGCUAACUCCGUGCCAGCAGCCGCGGUAAACCGAG